AUUGAACGCUGGCGGCAGGCCUAACACAUGCAAGUCGAACGAGUGGCGGACGGGUGAGUAAUGUCUGGGAAACUGCCUGAUGGAGGGGGAUAACUACUGGAAACGGUAGCUAAUACCGCAUACCAUCGGAUGUGCCCAGAUGGGAUUAGCUAGUGGGUGGGGGAAAGGCUCACCUAGGCGAAGAUCCCUAGCUGCUCUGAGAGGAUGACGAGCCACACUGGAACUGACAAACGGUCCAGACGCCUACGGGAGGCAGCAGUGGGGAAUAUUGCACAAUGGGCGCAAGCCUGAUGCAGCCAUGCGGCGUGUAUGAAGAAGGCCUUCGGGUUGUAAAGUACGUUCAGCGGGGAGGCGUUACCCACAGAAGAAGCACCGGCUAACUCCGUGCCAGCAGCCGCGGUAAUUC
rnacentral:rRNA from 1 species